rnacentral:rRNA from 1 species
UUGACCUCAAAUCAGGUAGGACUACCCGCUGAACUUAAGCAUAUCAAUAAGCGGAGGAAAAGAAACUAACAAGGAUUCCCUUAGUAACUGCGAGUGAAGUGGGAAAAGCUCAAAUUUAAAAUCUGGCAGUCAUUUGGCUGUCUGAGUUGUAAUCUAGAGAAGUGU